rnacentral:rRNA from 1 species
GUGGGGAAUCUUGCGCAAUGGGCGAAAGCCUGACGCAGCAACGCCGCGUGGGGGAUGAAGGCUCUCGGGUUGUAAACCCCUUUCAGCAGGAACGAAAAUGACGGUACCUGCAGAAGAAGGCCCGGCCAACUACGUGCCAGCAGCCGCGGUAAUACGUAGGGGCCAAGCGUUGUCCGGAUUUAUUGGGCGUAAAGAGCUCGUAGGCGGUUUGGAUAGUCGGGUGUGAAAACUCCGAGCUCAACUCGGAGACGCCACCCGAUACUGCCAUGACUAGAGUCCGGUAGGGGAGCAGGGAAUUCCUGGUGUAGCGGUGAAAUGCGCAGAUAUCAGGAGGAACACCGGUGGCGAAGGCGCUGCUCUGGGCCGGUACUGACGCUGAGGAGCGAAAGCGUGGGUAGCAAACAGGAUUAGAAACCCCAGUAGUCC